UCAGUUUAAAAACUGGUUUACAGCAGGUUCCUGUUCUGCAGCAACAUAGAACAAUGAACACAAUUUCAGCACAUUUAUACAGGACAUUAUUAUUGACUAGACAGAUGCAAACAAAUAAAACAUUAAAUACGGAAAAACAAGACUAAAAACAAUACAUGAACAAUCAGUGUGUGCAAGUAUGACUAUCAAGAAGAAACAUGUUAUAUGACUUUUUGAAAUAUGUGAUGGAUGAUAAUGUUCAAAUGUGAUAGGGAAUGUCAUUCCAAAUUUUAGUGUAAAUAUAGAAAAAGGAUUUCUGACCGUAGUUGUUUUUGUAUGGGGGAACUGGAAUGAGUGCCUUGAGAUCCUUAUCUGACAUGAUC